rnacentral:rRNA from 1 species
AGGAUGAACGCUAACGGCAGGCUUAAUACAUGCAAGUCGAGGGGCAGCACGGGUAGCAAUACCUGGUGGCGACCGGCAAACGGGUGCGGAACACGUACGCAACCUUCCUUUAAGUGGGAAUAGCCCAGGGAACCUUGGAUUAAUACCCCUUAAUAUUAUUGAGUGGCAUCACUUGAUAAUUAAAGCUCCGGCGACCUAAAGAUGGGCGUGCGCCUGAUUAGGUAGUUGGCGGGGUAACAGCCCACCAAGCCUACGAUCAGUAACUGGUGUGAGAGCACGACCAGUCACACGGGCACUGAGACACGGGCCCGACU